GUAGGUGAACCUGCGGAAGGAUCAUUAACACGUAUCCACGUAUCAAAAACCCCUCUGUGAAAACCCUCUUUGUGAAGGCUUGAUUGGAGUUGCGUCUGCUCGAUCUUAAUGAUGGGAGUCUUUAUUGACUCGGGAUCUAUGAGCAGGUGCCGCGUUUGACAAUCAGCCGCUAUUUUCCCAUCGUUAGGCCCCAAACACAUUUAACCCCUUGUACUCUUUUGUACUGAACCAAUUCUUCGAGUUUCGGCUU
rnacentral:misc_RNA from 1 species